AGAACUACGUUGAAAAGAAAAAGAAAUAAAACACAAAAGGAUGAAGAAAAGACUUUCAGUUGCAUGCAAAGAAUGAUUCAAGAGGGUCCUGAAUGAAUAAAAUGAGUAAACGUCACAGCAGUUUAGUUGGGGUUUUGGAACUGAAAUGGUUAAAAUCUAAAUUUGAAGACUAAGUGGAAAUACCACAAUAUGAAUUUAACAUCCAAAAUACUUUGUGACAACAUAUUGUUGCAUUGAUGUAAUAAAACACAUUUUUUUAAAAGUACACUGGCAGUGAGGGCCAUUAAAAAUGAGACCAUGUCAGAUCAUGCCAUUACCACAACUAAGCACAUUCAUAAAGCAGGACCACUCAACGAUAGCCUGUAAUGUUAAACAGAAGCAAGAACAGACCUAAACAGAGCAACAAA